AUUGAACGCUGGCGGCAGGCCUAACACAUGCAAGUCGAACGAGUGGCGGACGGGUGAGUAAUGUCUGGGAAACUGCCCGAUGGAGGGGGAUAACUACUGGAAACGGUAGCUAAUACCGCAUACCAUCGGAUGUGCCCAGAUGGGAUUAGCUUGUAGGUGAGGUAACGGCUCACCGAGGCGACGAUCCCUAGCUGGUCUGAGAGGAUGACCAGCCAGAAGGGAAAGUAGACACGGUCCAGACUCCGACGGGAGGAAGAAGUGGGGAAUAUUGCACAAUGGGCGCAAGCCUGAUGCAGACAUGCCGAGUGGAGGAAGAAGGCCUUCGGGUUGGAAAGUACUUUCAGCGGGGAGGCGUUACCCGCAGAAGAAGCACCGGCUAACUCCGUGCCAGCAGUCGCGGUAAUUC
rnacentral:rRNA from 1 species